CCUGGCCGCGUCUGGCUUCUUAAAGGGGCACGAGCCCGGCAUAGGUGGGGGUGGGUGCUGAGUCCUGUCUGGGGAGGGAGUAGACAGCGGAGGCGACAACAAUGCAGCCAGGUGCCGCGGCCCCCGGCGCGAGGCGGCCUCCAGGGCUUCCCUGGUGGCGCAGUGGAUGAGAGUGCGCCUGCCGAUACAGGGGACGCGGGUUCGUGCCCCGGUGCGGAAAGAUUUCACAUGCUGAGGAGUGGUGGGGCCUGUGAGCCAUGGCCGCUGAGCCUGCGCGUCCGGAUCCUGUGCUCUGCAAUGGGAGAGGCCACAGCAGUGAGAGGCCUGCGUACUGCCAAAAAAAAACCCCAAACAAACAUAAAAACACUGUCUCUAAAUAAAGUUACAUUCUGAGGUA